AGAAUCCCUUUUGGGAAUCACUCUCAUUAUCCUUCCCCAAGGCAGAAUUCUGCUGAAUCACUCACCCUACUCAGUCCCUGAAGGUUCAUUCUUAUGGGAUGAUAUUGGCAACCUCCUACGAAUACAGGAUGAGGCUGUCAUGCUUUUAUCUGCAAACAAACCUACUAAAUGAGCACGACUCCCUCUACAGUAGUAAAGGUAUCACAAUCCAGUUCAUAAAAAUGAACACGUAGGUUCUACCCAAAGGAGUUUACAGUCAGAUCAGACUCAGGCAGCAAAUUUUAUUCUGCCUGUUUUCCAACACACCUGUAAGCUCCAGUACUGUCUUGUGACAAAUCAUAUCCUAUUUUAACGUAAUAUGAAAUGCAAAAAAAAGUAUCUGAUGAUUUUUUGCAGUUGCUUGUGAUUCCCUUGUUAUCCUUCGAGAAUUUCAAAGGAAGUGGCAAUUUAAAAAAUGAGAAGUUGAGAAAAAGGAAAGAAGAAGAUGCAGUGAAGUGGCUGCACAACAGUGUAACUGGGGAUGAGGUGCAAAAAGGUAUCGGAGCUCCAGUUCCUGGAAUUCCAGCGUGACUUGAGCAAUUCAGAUUGUAUUGCAAGAAAAAGUUAGUUCUGGCAUUCCCUUGCAGAGAGUGAUUUGAAAACCUGACUCACAACCGUCCUGCAGUCUCAGAAACAAGGUGGCAGCUCCCGUCUAAAUCUACAGACAGCACUUCAUGUAUGAAUCAUUUCUUGGUGACUUGCAAAACUCUUCUGAGAU